rnacentral:rRNA from 1 species
CUGGCGGCGUGCUUACACAUGCAAGUCGAACGGGAUCCAAAGCUUUGCUUGCGGUGUGAGAGUGGCGAACGGGUGAGUAAUGCGUGACCAACCUGCCCCAUGCUCCGGAAUAGCUCCUGGAAACGGGUGGUAAUGCCGGAUGCUCCCGCGCCCCGCAUGGGGUGNGGGGAAAGNUUUCNUGGCAUGGGAUGGGGUCNCGUCCUAUCANCUUGUUGGCGGGGNGAGGGCCCNCCAAGGCGUUGACGGGUANCCGGCCUGAAAGGGCNACCGGCCACAUUGGGACUGANAUACGGCCCAAACUCCUACGGGAGGNAGCAGNGGGGAAUAUUGCACAAUGGGCGCAAGCCUGAUGCACCAACGCCGCGUGCGGNAUGNAGGCCUUCGGGUUGNAAACCNCUUUUGUUUGGNAGCAAGCCCUUCNGGGUGAGUGUACCUUUCAAAUAAGCCACCGGNUAACUACNNGCCAGCAGCCGCGG